rnacentral:rRNA from 1 species
UGGGGGAUAUUGCACAAUGGGCGAAAGCCUGAUGCAGCGACGCCGCGUGGGGGAUGAAGGCUUUCGGGUUGUAAACCUCUUUCGCUAUCGAACAAGGCCCGCUUAGGGUGGGUUGAGGGUAGGUGGAGAAGAAGCGCCGGCUAACUACGUGCCAGCAGCCGCGGUAAUACGUAGGGCGCGAGCGUUGUCCGGAAUUAUUGGGCGUAAAGGGCUUGUAGGCGGCUUGUUGCGCCUGCUGUGAAAACGCGGGUCGUAACUUCGCGCGUGCAGUGGGUACGGGCAGGCUUGAGUGUGGUAGGGGUGACUGGAAUUCCAGGUGUAGCGGUGGAAUGCGCAGAUAUCUGGAGGAACACCGAUGGCGAAGGCAGGUCACUGGGCCAUUACUGACGCUGAGGAGCGAAAGCAUGGGGAGCGAACAGG